UACUGAAAAUAUAUUUACCUCAAUAAUGUUUUUAAUGGUACUCCAGUUUAUUAUCACAUUUUGUUUAUGCGGAUAUUUGUUGCUUACUUUCUUUAAUGAUGGAAAUGUAAUAAACAUGACAAAUAUUUCACAACUAAGUUACAUGGCAGUUGGUGUUAUCUUUAUACUUAUACAAACUUUUCUCUACUGCUUGGGCGGAGAUUUAAUAACAGAACAUUACGACGAGGUAUUUCGUAGUAUUUGCGAUCUUAAAUGGUACAAAUUGGAGCGACGCCAGGCGAAAAACCUUAUUCUACCAAUGUUAGUAACUGAGAAACCUUUUUGUAUUACUGCUGGAAAAAUUUUUCCAUUAACA